CCCUUAGAUGUUCUGGGCCGCACGCGCGCUACACUGAUGCAUUCAACAAGCCUAGCCUUGACCGAGAGGUCCGGGUAAUCUUUGAAACUGCAUCGUGAUGGGGCUAGAUUAUUGCAAUUAUUAAUCUUCAACGAGGAAUGCCUAGUAAGCGUGAUUCAUCAAAUCGCGUUGAUUAUGUCCCUGCCCUUUGUACACACCGCCCGUCGCUCCUACCGAUUGAAUGUGUUGGUGAGGAGCUCGGAUUGGCAGCAGUUGGUGGUUCGCCACCGGCUAUUGCUGAGAAGUCCUCCAAACCGCCCCAUUUAGAGGAAGGAGAAGUCGUAACA
rnacentral:rRNA from 1 species